UACAAUGUAGACUUAAUUAUAAUAAUAUUCACCUUUAAAAUUUAUGCUAAGUUAAAAUACGAUUACUCAUUUAAAUCUUUCCUAAGCUUGUUUCAAUACAUCAAAUAUGAAAAGUAAAUGCAGAAAAUAACUAUAGGUGACUCCCCAAAACCUAGUCUAAAAUAGUGUAAGAGCACUAGAUAAGAAAUAGAUAUAUCCAUAAUGCAACAUCCACAAAGGAUAGAGAUGGUAGGAAUUGUUAUUGAGUUAUUGGUAUCUCUGUUAUAGAAACUCCAACUGACCUGCACCAUAGCUAUACCCUUCAGUACUAUAGUUAGUGUAGAAUCAGUGUAAUCACACAUAAUGGUAAGCAUCAUCAGUUGAACAAGUUGAGAAACAAAUAACAUCAAUAUAAAUAUAGGAAAAUCAUAUCAAUAAAUAAAAUUUUUGUUCUAACUUACUAACUAUAAAAUUCUCAACACAUCAUUUAGCAUCUUUAUCUUUUGAAUUAUACUUUGUAUAUGUACAAUCCUUAAAUCUUACAUCCUCCCACGUCCUCUCAGUUCUUACAAUUAAAAGACACUAUAUUACCAUAUCCCAUAAUUAUCAUAAGUUUUAUGAUCAUAUUAUACCAUACCCAAUCCUCCCAAGGGACCCCUAUGCAUUCAUACAAUCUUUCAUAAAUCACCACAAUAAGUAAAUAUAUGAAGGCAAAUAAAAUAUAAAUACAUUUAAAUCAUAUACAAGGAUGCAUGUAUGCAAAAUGUGUAUAUCAUCUCUUUCUCUACUCAUCCUUUUCAUCAACAUCAUAACAUAAAAGUAUGGUACUCGAUCUGUUAUCACAUCAUAUCAUAUUAUACCGGCGUGGUACCCGACUUAAUCUCUCAUCAUAUCAUAUCGUAAUAGUGUGGCACGUGACCCAUUAUCUUAAAAUCUCAACACAAUGCAUACGAUUAUGUUCAAGAACUAAAUAAAUUAUAAUUCAUGCAAAAGAUAAUUACAAGUGUUAGACCACAAUCAAUCAUGAUUCAAUCAAGUCUACUGUUACAUCAACCAUUGAAUUCAUUUUUUUUUGGUAAACUUAGUCCUCACAUAGAUUUCAAAACCAUAGCUUACCAAGUACCCCAAUUUGGCGUCUAUCACCCGAGUUUACAUUAUUAAACUUUUUUUCUAACUGUACUCCAACCUUAAGAUUUUACAUUACCUUCUAACUAGGGAAAACAUUAAUCACGAUAAUAUGGCAAUCAACGCCGACACUGUAACCCUAUUAAAUUGAAUACUUUUGUACUCACUAUCUAAUUUUCUAAGCUCUGGAAAGCUAGAAAAUCUUAGUUUUUGACCCUUAGAAAAUUUCAUGGAAAUCCAUUCUCUGAACCCAAUAUGACUCAUGGGUAUGAGCCAUAUGCUGGGGUAAGAGUGGUAUGGUCCUAUCGUAUGUUGAAUAGUGUUAGUUAGUAGGAUGGUUUUGCUCACUAGAAUGGGUACGACUUAGAGAAGUGAGUCGUAAGGGUUUGGUAUGAGUCAUUGUAGGGUCUCAUAUGGUGGACAGUGUUUGAUCCUCUCGGUAUUUUACUCUGCUAGGGAUAUGGGUUAUGGGUACAAAUCAUAUGCUGCGGUUACGACUUGAUUGGAUAAGUCAUAUACUAGAUAGUGUUUGAUAUAAGGGUUAAGGCUUGGAUAUGAGUGGUGGAUACCAAUCUUAUAGGGGGUACGACUUGUAAGGGUCAGACAUAUUCCUAUGACAGAUUUUAAAGGGAUUUAAGUAGAGGUAUUCUGUAUAUUUCCCUACUUUCCCUAUUAGGAUCCAUGACUUAUAAUAUAUUUAGAAGGUUAUUUACCCUAUUAUUCUAUUCAUUAAUACUUAGAAACUAUUCCAUAACAUCUCAUAAUUCUUUCAAGGGAUUUUGGGGCAAGAAGGCUAGGGUUUCAUUUUAUAGAUUGCUUUCGGGCUUAUAUUGGUGAAUUCUUUUCAUCAAUUCUUUGGUAUAAGGUGUGAUUCUCUUUCUUCAUUAUAAUUUCAACUAAAGGCAUGGUUUAUAUUAUUGAUUUCAUGAUUUUACUAUUUCAUGACUAUAGUUUUCAACUAUUAUUGGGAGUUUUGAUAUUAAAUGCUUGGCUAUGGUUUUUCCUAUGGUUUAGAUUAUGAUUUUAUAUGCAUUAAGGGUGGUUUUGGACAAUUGGAUUGCAUGGUAAUGGAUUAAUGGUCCUUGAAAUUGAUUUUUGUUAUAUUAUGCCCCCAAGGUGUUUGAUAAAAUGCUUAUAAGGAUAUGUUCAUUGCAUUGACUUCUUUUAAUAGAACUCUUGCAUAUUUUAAACUUGAUAAAGGAUUUUUACAUAGCUUAAAUGGUUUGAAAGGGCUAAAGGAUAAAUGUUUAUGCUUGUUGAGAACAUCAAGUCUCCAAGUGGAUUUAAUAUAGUAUAUGGAAAGGCACCUAAGGUCCCCUUAACCUAAAUAGUUUGGCUAUAGAUAUUGCUUACAAGUAAGGGGUGGUAUGAUGAUACCACCAAUAUUGGACUUGGUUAAUAAAUGGUAAAUAGAUUGUUGGAUAUGGUUUUAAUUGGUCAUUAAUGGCCGGGUGUGUAGCUAAGCCAUGGAAGGUGGUGGUCCCGGGAGGACCAAAACUGAAAACUCAUAUUUGCCGAUAAAGGGGUCUUGAUGACCAUGUGCAAGUGUCUUAUUUUAUAUUGAGGGAUGUACUAUUCAUCCCAUGGAAUAUUCCCUGGUUGUAUGGCUACACGCAUUGAGGCUGUUUUAGCAGGGGGAGCUGAACCCAUAUGACUCGUAGGUGGUUAGGAUGACAAAGUUGCACAACCCAAGUAAAGGUUUUAAGUUCAUGCUAAACCCGAUCCCCUUUCCCAGCACUUAUAUAUGUUUGGUUGUAUGCAUUAUAGAUGGUUUUACUUUGUUUUAUGACUGACAUUAUUUUAUCCUUAUCUUGAGAUUUAUGCUAGCAAUCACUCGCUUACCCCAUCUACUGCGGCUGUAUACCCACGCAAUAUAAAUACUGACCAUUCUAAUAUCCUAUUUAGCAUAUAGAUUCGAUAUCAACAUUUAGACUAAAUUGGUGAUCUUCCAUCCUUUUGAAAGACAUCAUUUUAUGUUAUGGAUUUCUUUAGACAUUUUCUUUCAUUUUGGAUAUUGGUUUUGGCCAUGGUUGGGGACAUGUCCCAACCGGACUUGUUUACUCUUUUAGAUAGAGGCUUUGUGGUACUUCUGGGGGUUGUUGUGGGAGGGAUCAGUAGAGGUGUCAGCCUUAGCAUUGGUAUUGAUAUCGAGGAUGGAAUCAUCGAAGAUUAUUUCUCACUGUUCCAUUAUAUUAUAUUUUGGGAUUAAUUAUCGUAUUAUGUUUUUGUAUUCCCUUUGUUUUAUGGUCUAUGGAUUGGUUUGUACUUGGUUGGGUUGGUCACAGAUGUGACCCUAUCCCAGAUUCUUAAUGAGAACAAUAAUUUUAUAUUAUUAUAUGUUCGAAAUUCAGCCCAUCUAAGGUUGGACAUAGGUGGUUGGGUUGGGUAACAGGGGGAGGCCUCUAGUCCUAGUUGGAAUUGGGAUACCUAUUACUAUGAAGACCGAGGUCGUGUUGUGUCAAGUUAGUAUUUAAGCCUAUGUUUAUGGUCAACUAAGAAGUCCACAAAGCCAUUUCGAGUAGAGUUUCUUUUAGGGAUGUGAAGCAUGCCACACUCAUCAGAGAGAGGCGACAAGACAUUUAGGAAUGUUUCACUUUCUUGGUGUUCUAUAUUCAAGCUUGAGUUCUCAAUCCUUGAAUAUCCUCUAAUCAUUAUUUGUUCGUCUUUCAGAUUAUGCCUCAUAAAACUGGAACACAAGAAAAUUCUUCCAUCCCAUUUGGGGAUAAUGCUGAAAGGGUACGUCCCACGUUUGGAGUACAUCUUUGAUCUCAUGGUCCUAUUCCUGAUAGUGCUGGAAUUCCUCCUAUUUUGGCUAGUUCUCCUCAGGUCCAUCAGGGUAACGUGAUGAACGUAUAAUUUUGUUAGUCUAUUCAUGUUAUUGCCUAAUUGGUUGCUACUCAAACUGAGCAAGGUGCGACUAGUGCUUUUUCUACUGAGGCCACAAGGGUUGGUCAAUUUAUGAAGAUGGGUCCUCCCCAUAGAGUUUCCUCUCCAGAUAUAAUAAAGCACAUUUUGACCUAAUCUACGAUAGUCGAAUGACUUACAAAUAUUGAAAAAAUUUACCAAGUGCAUGUUAGAAUCAUAGUUGGGUAGUCCAGCAAACAAACCUUUCAAGUUGAUCAAUUGAAUCAUUGUGCUAGUAAUGUUGAACUUCACCCCGAGUGGCCAAUGUGGGUAGCAUUAUUUCUCCGGUAGCACCAACUCUAUCUAAAUCAGCAUUAUCAUCAUCCAGGGAAAAUUGCACCGUAGGCUGUUGGUGUUCUCUGCCUCGUACUUGCUAAUUCUGGUUGUCUAGCACAACAUUAUUCAUAUGUCGCAUAUUAAUUGCAUCAACCAAAUCAUCAUCUCCUAGAUCCUCAUGAUCCUUAUAGUGCACAUGAUCAGGUACAUCAACGUCCUGUUGGUUUAAUUGGGCAACAACUAGUGCAACCAACCUUUUUGCCUUUUGCUGUUCUUCUAUAUCUCUUCUCAAAGUUCUUUGAAGUUUAGGAUCAUAAGGUACAAGAGUUUCGCCUGAUUGAUGAGUUUGUGGAAUGCACAAUCAAUAUCCUGCACACAAAAAUAAUAAAUAAAAGUAAAAUUAGGAAACUUGACUAAGAGUCGGUUAAUGCACAUAAACUUUGUUGAAAAUUGUAUUCUCCAUCAAUGGUGGCAAAAUUUGAUACACCCAAACUACAACUCCCCAAGAAGAGUGUAACUGGUCAUUGCCAAAUAUAUAACCCAACAAAGGUUGGUCUUGAAUCCCAUAGGGAAUAAGGUGCUAAUUAAGUUGUAUGUAGAUUAAUAGACUUCUAAUCAUAAGUUUCCAUUGAGUUGGGGUUUUGGGUUGAAAUAUUAAUUGAGUAAUUUCAGUUUAGUAAUAACCAACGUCUUCCUUAUAAUGUGUUAACAAUUUAGAAAUAGUAAAUUAGGGUUAUGUUUACCAUGGUGCUUCAAUUCUGUCAAGGCUAUUGGUUAUAUAAGCUCAUAUUAACACUUAUGAUUAUAGAGAAAGUUACAUAAAAUUUCCAUCCAAGUGUUUCCCAACCUUCAAAGAUGAAUUCACUUUAUUUCCUCAAACAUUAAAGUGAUAACAUAAUAUUGUAAUAAAUUCUCCAAGAGAUAAAUUUGGUUAAGGCAUCAAUCUAUAAAUUAGAGGUAAGAACUAUAAUUUCUUAUCACUAUUCUGUUCAAGCAAGUUAUGUUUUAGAUCACACUCUCAAGUUUGCAACCAUGAAAAACCAUUAAAAUAAAUAGAAUAUGAUAAAAUCACAAUGUCAAUAUAAACUCUGUAUAAUAAAACCUAUAAUUGAGAUUUCAAUAACGCUUCUAUAACCCUAGUUAUGGAGAUUUAUCCAUACAUGAUUAGAAAAUAGAAGAAAAGAUUAAUUUCAUAAAAUUACAGAUUUAACUUACCAUCAAAAUAAAUUAGAAUUCCCAAUUCAAAUUCAAAAGUUAAGCAAUGUGUUCUUCAGCUCUAAACGUGUUUCUCAGACAAACUUACGUUACAAAUUUCACAAUAGUCAAAAGAUGCCUAUUCUAACCCUAAGUUAGGUAUUUAUAGGCUCCAACAAGGUUGGGUUUUGAAAUUUAAAAUGGAGAUGCCACAUCAGAACUGAUGAUUUGCCAAACGAUCAAUUAGUAGAGCGAUAUUUUGUCGGCUAAACCAUCACUGACUAUUUAGAGAUGAUCUGCACAAAGGAGUUCCUGAUGGCUCUGGUGAUGGUUCGUCAUUGGUAUGGUGGCCUAUUGACCCUCUCAUCAAAUGCCACAUAAUUUUCCUUGGUUUUGGUUGGUUGGGAUGGUUGGUUGAUGACCCAUCGCGGUCUCAAUGACCCAUCAAUCGACCCAUCGCUCUAUUCCAGUUUCAUCCUAUUUCUGCCUUAUGGUGACAGGUGGUCUGAUGGUUCGUCAAGGAACCAACAGUCUGUUGGUAUCCUUAUCGCAGUUCUCUUUAGUUUACAUAUUUGUUAUUUCCAUUAUUUGAGUUUAAU
rnacentral:lncRNA from 1 species